rnacentral:rRNA from 1 species
UACGUAGGGGGCAAGCGUUGUCCGGAAUUAUUGGGCGUAAAGAGCGUGUAGGCGGUCCGGUAAGUCAGCUGUGAAAGUCAAGGGCUCAACCCUUGAAUGCCGGUUGAUACUGUCGGGCUAGAGUCCGGAAGAGGCGAGUGGAAUUCCCGGUGUAGCGGUGAAAUGCGUAGAGAUCGGGAGGAACACCAGAGGCGAAGGCGGCGACCUGGACAGAUACUGACACUAAACUACGAAAGCGUGGGGAGCAAACAGG